rnacentral:rRNA from 1 species
GACGAACGCUGGCGGCGUGCUUAACACAUGCAAGUCGAACGGAAAGGCCCUGCUUGCAGGGUACUCGAGUGGCGAACGGGUGAGUAACACGUGGGUGAUCUGCCCUGCACUUCGGGAUAAGCCUGGGAAACUGGGUCUAAUACCGGAUAGGAGCCAUUUUUAGUGUGAUGGUUGGAAAGUUUUUUCGGUGUAGGAUGAGCUCGCGGCCUAUCAGCUUGUUGGUGGGGUAAUGGCCUACCAAGGCGGCGACGGGUAGCCGGCCUGAGAGGGUGGACGGCCACAUUGGGACUGAGAUACGGCCCAGACUCCUACGGGAGGCAGCAGUGGGGAAUAUUGCACAAUGGGCGCAAGCUUGAUGCAGCGACGCCGCGUGGGGGAUGACGGCCUUCGGGUUGUAAACUCCUUUCGCUAGGGACGAAGCUUUUUGUGACGGUACCUAGAUAAGAAGCACCGGCUAACUACGUG